rnacentral:rRNA from 1 species
UACGGAGGGGGGCUAGCGUUGUUCGGAAUUACUGGGCGUAAAGCGCACGUAGGCGGCUUUUGUAAGUUAGAGGUGAAAGCCCCGGAGCUCAACUCCGGAACUGCCUUUAAGACUGCAUCGCUUGAACGUCGGAGAGGUAAGUGGAAUUCCGAGUGUAGAGGUGAAAUUCGUAGAUAUUCGCAAGAACACCAGUGGCGAAGGCGGCUUACUGGUCCGGUUCUGACGCUGAGGCGCGAAAGCGUGGGGAGCAAACAGG